GGGGGUGUAGCUCAGCUGGUUAGAGCGCUGGCCUGUCACGCCAGAGGUCGCGGGUUCGAGCCCCGUCACUCCCG
rfam:Sebaldella termitidis ATCC 33386, complete genome.